AAAUAACAAUGAUUCCAUUAGUAACGGCGAGUGAAACUGGAUCUAGUUCAGCCUGUGAAUCGCUACAUAGUAGCGAGUUGUGGCUUAUAGAAGAUGUGUCGGACUAGACUUCAGGCUUAAUUAUACUGGAACGUAUAGGCGAAGAGGUUGAGACCACCGUUCAUGUUUGAAGUUCUUGUCCAUGGCAUACACCUUCGACGAGUCGAUUUGCUUGGGAUUGCAGAUCAAAGUGUCACGUAAAUUUGUGAUAAAACUAAAUAUUGGUGGGAAACCGAUAGCGAACAAGUAAUGUGAAUGAAAGUUGCAAAGAACUUUGAAAAGAGAGUUAAAGAGUACUCGAAAUCGUUGAAAGGGAAGCGUACGCAAACAGUGUUUCACUGCACCAUCUUUCUUCAUUAGCUUGCUAUUGAAGCGCUGUGGUGUAGAGUUUGUCAACAAGGGUUUGGAUCGAAGCAUAAGUAUGGCUGGGAGGCACACGUCUUUUCGUGGAUUACCAGCCUGUCUCGUUUUGGUC
rnacentral:rRNA from 1 species